rnacentral:rRNA from 1 species
UACCAGCACCUCGAGUGGUUAGGAGGUUUAUUGGGCCUAAAGCAUCCGUAGCCGGCUACGCAAGUCUCCGGUUAAAUCCAUCUGCUUAACAGAUGGGCUGCCGGAGAUACUACAUAGCUAGGGAGCGGGAGAGGUAGACGGUAUUCGGUGGGUAGGGGUAAAAUCCUCUGAUCCAUUGAGGACCACCAGUGGCGAAGGCGGUCUACCAGAACGCGUUCGACGGUGAGGGAUGAAAGCUGGGGGAGCAAACCGG